UAUAUAGAACAGGGGUGCUUAAGGCUGAGAAAUACCCUCAUUAGCUGAUCUAGUUAAUACUAGCGUAGUGAGUUUCUUUUUUUAAGCA
rnacentral:ncRNA from 2 species